rnacentral:rRNA from 1 species
UACGGAGGGUGCAAGCGUUGUCCGGAAUUAUUGGGUUUAAAGGGUGCGUAGGCGGCUUAUUAAGUCGGAGUUGAAAUACCUUAGCUUAACUAAGGAACUGGCUUCGAUACUGGUAAGCUUGAGUACAGUAGAGGUACAUGGAAUUCAUUGUGUAGCGGUGAAAUGCAUAGAUACAAUGAAGAACACCAAUUGCGAAGGCAGUGUACUGGACUGGAACUGACGCUGAGGCACGAAAGCAUGGGGAUCAAACAGG